rnacentral:rRNA from 1 species
UACGAAGGGGGCUAGCGUUGCUCGGAAUUACUGGGCGUAAAGGGAGCGUAGGCGGGUUAUCAAGUUGGGGGUGAAAGCCCGGGGCUCAACCUCGGAAUUGCCUUCAAAACUGAUAACCUGGAGUAUGGAAGAGGUAAGUGGAACUCCGAGUGUAGAGGUGAAAUUCGUAGAUAUUCGGAAGAACACCAGUGGCGAAGGCGACUUAGUGGUCCAUUACUGACGCUGAGGCUCGAAAGCGUGGGGAGCAAACAGG